GACGAACGCUGGCGGCGUGCCUAAUACAUGCAAGUUGAGCGCUGAAGGUUGGUACUUGUACCAACUGGAUGAGCAGCGAACGGGUGAGUAACGCGUGGGGAAUCUGCCUUUGAGCGGGGGACAACAUUUGGAAACGAAUGCUAAUACCGCAUAAAAACUUUAAACACAAGUUUUAAGUUUGAAAGAUGCAAUUGCAUCACUCAAAGAUGAUCCCGCGUUGUAUUAGCUAGUUGGUGAGGUAAAGGCUCACCAAGGCAAUGAUACAUAGCCGACCUGAGAGGGUGAUCGGCCACAUUGGGACUGAGACACGGCCCAAACUCCUACGGGAGGCAGCAGUAGGGAAUCUUCGGCAAUGGACGAAAGUCUGACCGAGCAACGCCGCGUGAGUGAAGAAGGUUUUCGGAUCGUAAAACUCUGUUGGUAGAGAAGAACGUUGGUGAGAGUGGAAAGCUCAUCAAGUGACGGUAACUACCCAGAAAGGGACGGCUAACUACGUG
rnacentral:rRNA from 1 species